UGUAAAAGUAAGUAAAUAGAUCUAUCUUAGCAUAAAUCAUAUCAGGCUGAACGAAAUGUGCUAACGAAAGGAGAAAAAUAAAAUGACCGAUUCAACAAUAUUUGAACGAGGCGAGAUGAGAAGUGAAAAGUCAGCUUGAAAAAUAGUUUGUAUUCAGAAGCAUAAAGUAAAUAAUACAAAGCUGUGAUAUGAAAAAAGAUUAUCUCUAAUUAAACACAUUUAUUGAACACACACACACACAGAUAGAUAGAUAGAUAGAUAGAUAGAUAGAUAGAUAGAUAGAUAUGCGACGACUGUCAUAACGGCAUGAAUUUCAGGAAAGUAACGACGUAACAACGAGAUGAAGGUUUAGAAAGAAGGGAAGAAAAAAUCUUCGCUCUACGUCCUUAACCUUUUUCUCAGUUAUGCACCUGAGACUCUACUGCAUAGGUAUUUAGUAUGCCGAAGGUUCACGUGAGCUUCAAUAUCAAAACCUUACGCAUUUGGGAUGUAUUUUCACGGAUGCCAUCGGCCGACUACAAGCUUCAUGACUGGAACAUAGUAGACAGAAAAUAUCAAAGUACAUCGGCUGUACUCCAAUCAUAUUCGUCUGCGGUCAUAAUGGGGCAAUGAAUUAAUGACUGUAGUCGAACAAAGUACUCUUCUUUUAAAGCCUGGUAGGUAUUCCAUCA